GGAUCUUCGGACCAUUCGUAUCAAAUGCCCCUGCGUCGGAUAGCUAACUGGUGAGGUAAUGUUUCACAAGGGCGACGAUCCGUAGCUGGUUUGAGAGACGGUCCAGCCACACGGGGAUUGAGACACGCCCCAGACUCCUACNGGAGACAGCAGUGGGGGAUAUUGGACAAUGGGGGCAACCUGAUCCAGCAAUACCGCGUGUGUGAAGAAGGCCUGAGGGUUGUAAAGCACUUUCAAUUGUGAAGAAAAGCAUAGGGUUGAUAGCCUUCUGUCGUUGACUUUAACCUUUAGAAGAAGCACCGGCUAACUCCCGUGCCAGCAGCCGCGGUAAUACGGAGGGUGCAAGCGUUAAUCGGAAUUACUGGGCGUAAAGCGCGCGUAGGCGGUUUGGUCAGUCAGAUGUGAAAGCCCCGGGCUCAACCUGGGAACUGCAUUUGAUACUGCUGAACUAGAGUAUGGUAGAGGUAAGUGGAAUUCCAGGUGUAGCGGUGAAAUGCGUAGAGAUCUGGAGGAACAUCAGUGGCGAAGGCGGCUUACUGGACCAAUACUGACGCUGAGGUGCGAAAGCGUGGGUAGCAAACAGGAUUAGAUACCCUGGUAGUC
rnacentral:rRNA from 1 species